GGGCGCGCAUCACAGGGCCCCCACUCUGGUGUGAGCGUUCUGUGACCGCCCUUGUAUACAAGUGAAAAACACAGCGUCUGUGUGUGUUUCUACCCUUAGACUCUUAGCUGAAGAAGUGUCUUUAGAAUAAAUCUCUUGACAUUUAUUUUGGUCCUUCGAGAGCCGGAUCAGAAAUAUCAGAACUGUUAUCUGUGACUCUGUUCCAGGAUCUGGCAUACUGUUUCCUGACGCUGUGGAGCCAGCACCGAAGACUGUGCACAGCCCUCUUAGACGAGGAGGACCCGGGACGUUUGAGUCCGGGCCGGUCUGGUCCACGGCGAUGGGAUUCAGUCUGACGAUCCGAACCACCAGUGAGACGUCUGAGGGUGAGAAACACUAUUUUUGAUAUAUAAAACGGCCGCAAAGGUUUAAAGAAACGUGAUAAAUUAGGUUUAAGUUCGCCAAAAAGAACUAAGUUUAGACUGGUUUUAGAGGUAGCCAUUAAGUACUUCGUCAUAAAUUAGGUUUAAGUUCGCCAAAAGGAACUGUGUUUAGACCGGUUUUAGAGGUAACCGUUAAAUACUUCGUGACAAAUUAGGUUUAAGUUCGCCAAAAGGAACUGUGUUUAGACUGGUUUUUAGAAGUAGCCAUAAAAUACUUCGUAACAAAUUAGCACGCAAAUGUCUAUGUGUGUAUGUGUGUAGAAGUAAGUUGAUUUUACAGCACAAUACGCUGCUGAACUACUUCUAUUUUAUUUGUUUUCUUUGCUUGAGGCUCAAGUACUGGUGACAAAAGAGAACGGUUGAGUUUCGUCUCGUAAAACUGAUACCGCUUCAUUUUUUAGAAGUGAAGUAGAAGGCCGUGUCAGUAAACCACUCUGGAGUCAAGCGUGCCAGUGACGGCCCAGCAAAAUCUUUGGAAAUGGGUAAUAAACAAGCAAAAUUAACACCUGAUGAG